rnacentral:rRNA from 1 species
UUAUCCCAGUUGCCAUCAGGUAAAGACUGGGAACUCUGGGGAGACUGCCGGUGAUAACCGGAGGAAGGCGGGGAUGACGUCAAGUCCUCAUGGCCCUUACAUCCCGGGCUACACACGUGCUACAAUGGCAGGUACAGAGGGCUGCGAAGCCGCGAGGUGGAGCGAAUCCCAGAAAACCUGUCUCAGUCCGGAUUGAAGUCUGCAACUCGACUUCAUGAAGGCGGAAUCGCUAGUAACCGCGAAUCAGCAGGUCGCGGUGAAUACGUUCCCGGGCCUU